GAUGAACGCUGGCGGCGUGCCUAAUACAUGCAAGUCGAGCGAACAGACGAGGAGCUUGCUCCUUUGACGUUAGCGGCGGACGGGUGAGUAACACGUAGGUAACCUACCUAUAAGACUGGGAUAACUUCGGGAAACCGGAGCUAAUACCGGAUAAUAUUUCGAACCGCAUGGUUCGAUAGUGAAAGAUGGCUUUGCUAUCACUUAUAGAUGGACCUGCGCCGUAUUAGCUAGUUGGUAAGGUAACGGCUUACCAAGGCAACGAUACGUAGCCGACCUGAGAGGGUGAUCGGCCACACUGGAACUGAGACACGGUCCAGACUCCUACGGGAGGCAGCAGUAGGGAAUCUUCCGCAAUGGGCGAAAGCCUGACGGAGCAACGCCGCGUGAGUGAUGAAGGUCUUCGGAUCGUAAAACUCUGUUAUUAGGGAAGAACAAACGUGUAAGUAACUGUGCACGUCUUGACGGUACCUAAUCAGAGAGCCACGGCUAACUACGUG
rnacentral:rRNA from 1 species